rnacentral:rRNA from 1 species
GCGGUAGUCAGUUUGAGCUGGGGGUGUGAAGUUCUGUUUGUAGAAAGUUGUGGCAGUCUGGGCGAACAAUACUCUUUAAGUUUGACCUCAAAUCAGGUAGGAUUACCCGCUGAACUUAAGCAUAUCAAUAAGCGGAGGAAAAGAAACCAACCGGGAUUGCCUUAGUAACGGCGAGUGAAGCGGCAAAAGCUCAAAUUUGAAAUCUAGUACCUUUGGUGCUCGAGUUGUAAUUUGUAGAGGGAUACUUUGGGGCCGUCUCUUAUCUAUGUUCCUUGGAACAGGACGUCAUAGAGGGUGAGAAUCCCGUAUGAUGAGAGUCGCGGUUCUAUGUAAAGUUCCUUCGAAGAGUCGAGUUGUUUGGGAAUGCAGCUCUAAGUGGGUGGUAAAUUCCAUCUAAAGCUAAAUAUUGGCGAGAGACCGAUAGCGAACAAGUACAGUGAUGGAAAGAUGAAAAGAACUUUGAAAAGAGAGUGAAAAAGUACGUGAAAUUGUUGAAAGGGAAGGGCAUUUGAUCAGACAUGGUGUUUUGCGCCCUCUGCUCCUUGUGGGUGGGGGACUCUCGCAGCUCACUGGGCCAGCAUCAGUUUUGGCGGUAGGAUAAAUCCAUAGGAAUGUAGCUUGCCUCGGUAAGUGUUAUAGCCUGUGGGAAUACUGCCAGCCGGGACUGAGGACUGCGACAUUCGUCAAGGAUGCUGGCAUAAUGGUUAUAUGCCGCCCGUCUUGAAACACGGACCAAGGAGUCUAACGUCUAUGCGAGUGUUUGGGUGUAAAACCCGUACGCGUAAUGAAAGUGAACGUAGGUUGGGGGCCCUCUCGGGGGGUGCACAAUCGACCGAUCCUGAUGAAUUUCGGAUGGAUUUGAGUAAG